rnacentral:lncRNA from 8 species
NNNNNNNNNNNNNNNNNNNNNNNNNNCUGGCACCUCAGAACAGCUAAGACAAGGCCAUGCUGCAGCCACCCCUUACAGGAUGCAAUCCACCAUGCAUCCUGGUGUUCAUUUUCAUGGUCCGAUAACUCCCUCACCCUCUACUUCCUCAAUCCCUCCUAGCUCUUUUGUUCAUGGUGAUUUGAGUAGACGUCAUGUUGGGGCGAUGCCCAUUAAAUUGCAAUUUCCCACCUUUGGGAAAAAGGAUGACAGUCCUGAUCCGCUAAUGUAUCUGGAAAGAUGUCGUGACUUUCUUGCCCUCAAUCCCCUGGCUGACGAAGAACUCCUUGCCACAUUGAGGAAUGUGUUGCAUGGUACAGCUCGAGACUGGUGGGAUGUGGCACGUCUCACCACUACCUCCUGGGCUGACUUUGAGGCCAAGUUUUCCUCUGCAUUUCUGUCUGAGGACUACACAGAUGAGCUGGCAGACAGAGUCAGGAAUCGAGUGCAAAGAGAGAAAGAGAGUAUCCGUGACUUUGCAUACGGUUACCACUCCCUGUGCAGAAGGUGGAAACCUGGUAUUGAGGAGGAAGAGGUCAUUAAAUUGAUCUUGAAGAACAUCAACCCACUACUAGCCAGUCAACUCAGAGAAAGAGUCACCACUGUUGAUGGACUGGUUCGCCUGGGACAGCAGUUCGAGAAGGACAGAGAAUGCCAACAGCAAUAUGAACAGAGAAAGAAACAGACACCCAAACCGUUACCCAAGCCAGACCAUCAACAACAGCCAGAGUCUCCAGCCAAAACCCCUCCCAUGUUCUGUUGGAGAUGUAGCCAAAAGGGACAUUCUUCAGCUACAUGUCCAAGACCAUAUCAAGUAAACCCUUCCAGAAACCACAAAUCACAACAGGCAAACACACCUAACUCACUUCGCAGGAACGACCAUCCUACUCUGGGUGCUUUGACCAGAGUUCAAACCCCAAGAGUCACUGCCUACGCCCCCCCAUCGACAUCCCCUUCCUUUCAGUUAAUACCGCACCAACUGGUGUUACCCCUGUCCAUAGGUCCAUGGA